GAUGAACGCUGGCGGCGUGCCUAAUACAUGCCAGUCGAGCGAACAGACGAGGAGCUUGCUCCUCUGACGUUAGCGGCGGACGGGUGAGUAACACGUGGAUAACCUACCUAUAAGACUGGGAUAACUUCGGGAAACCGGAGCUAAUACCGGAUAAUAUAUUGAACCGCAUGGUUCAAUAGUGAAAGACGGUUUUGCUGUCACUUAUAGAUGGAUCCGCGCCGCAUUAGCUAGUUGGUAAGGUAACGGCUUACCAAGGCAACGAUGCGUAGCCGACCUGAGAGGGUGAUCGGGCACGCUGGAGCUGAGACACGGUCCAGACGCCUACGAGAGGCAGCAGUAGGGAAUCUGCGACAAUGGGGGGGGGCAUAACGGAGCAACGCCGCGUGAGUGAUGAAGGUCUUCGGAGCGUAAAACUCUGUUAUUAGGGAAGAAAAGAUGUGUAAGUAACUAAGCACGUAUUGACGGUACCUGAACAGAAAGCCACGGCUAACUACGUG
rnacentral:rRNA from 1 species